AAAGAGUGCCAACUUAUGAGUUCUUGUGUAGUCCAUUAGAGUUGAGAGAAGUUUGCACUCAAGAUACCCAAAGUCCUUAAGCAAAUCAAUGGUGUACUUCCUUUGGUAUAUGUGAAUUCCAUCAUUUGACUUUGCAACUUUUAUCCCUAUGAAAUAUUUCAAAUUACCAAGAUCCUUGAUUUUAAAUUUGGCAUGUAAGAUCUCUUUAAUUGCAUAAAUUUUAGCAAUGUCAUCACCAAUCAAAACUAGAUCAUCAACAUACACGAGGAUGGCAAUAAAUCCAUCUGCCCUGGUUUUAACAAAGAGGAAAUGAUCUCAACACACUUCUUGUAGCUUGUAGCAACUAGUGUCGGGCCAACUUAAUGUUUCAUUGCCUGCUAGCUUGCUUCAAGUAAUAGAAAGGCUUUUUUAGCUUGCAAACAGGUCUUGGUUGGGAGGUGUUCAAUCUAGGUGGAAGCUUCAUAUAGACCUCCUUGUCCAAGUCGCCGUGUAAAAAUGCAAUGUUCACAUUCAGCUGCUUGAGGUGCCACUUCUUGGCUGCUACAAUUGUCAAGAUAACUCUAAAAGUGAUCAUUUUUAUCAUUGGACUAAAAGUAUUCGCAUAGUCUACGCUUUGUACUUGAGUGAGCCCUUUGGCUACCAAUCUGGCCUUGUGCCACUCAAUUAAACCAUCUAGAUUGAACUUGACACAAAAAAUCCACUUGCACCCAACAACUUUCUUUUUUGGCCUUUGAAAGUUCAGUGAGCACCCAAGUUUGAUUUUGGUCUAAAGCUUUCAAUUCAGCUUGUAUCGCCUCUCUCUAGCAAGGUUGAGUGGCAACCUCUUCAUAGGUGCUAGGUUCUGAAUUGGUCAAAGUUGCAAGGGAUAAAGGUCUGUAUUUUGAUGUCAAUUUCUGAAAAGAUAAACAUUGUGAAAAGGGAUACAAAGAAUGAGAUGAUUUGUCAUUAGUAGUGGAGUUGGUUAUCAUGUAGUGAUAAUCUUUCAAGUAACAACGAGAUUUUCUUAUUCUAGUGGACCUUCUAGCAGAGUUAUCAAGAUGAUGCAAUGAAUGUGAAUUGUCUAAUACUACUGAAGAGUUUGGUGCAAUUUCUGAUUCAAAUGUGGCAUGCUCAACAGAAUGAUGUGGUGCGGUUCUUGAAGACGAUGGUAAACUAAAGUAAAAAUGAGUAUAAGGCGAAGAUGUAAUGCAUGAAUCAUAAAUGAAUGGAUCAAUAUAUGUAUUUGAUGCAGUGCUAAGUGGUAAAUUUUGAAGCGCAAAAUUGGAAUUUAUGUUCUCAAUUGCUGCAGAAUUUGAGAAAGAAAACUGAUUUUCAUAGAAUGUGACAUGCCGAGAAACAAAAUUCUUUUGGAUGUUACAUUAAUUAAUCUAAAACCUUUGGUCCUAGCUUUAAAACCAAGAAAGAUAGAUUUUCUUGCUCGUGGAUCAAGUUUGGACCUUGAGGUGGUAAGUGUGGAUGCAUAGGCCAAGCAUUUAAAAACUUUUAAAUUCGAGAUAUCAGCUAGCUUUCCAUAUAGCAGUUUGUAAAAAAUUUCAUUUUUCAAGCUACUACUUGGCAAUCUAUUUAUUAGGUGAACUGCAUGGGCCACUUCAAAGUGCCAAAAACAUUUUGGGAUAUUUGAUUGAAAAAGCCGUGCACGUGUGUCACUUAAUAUAUGUUGAUGCUUGCAUUCCACAAUCCCAUUUUGCUACAGUGUUUCUGCAUAGGAAGUCUGGUGUAGGAUUUCACUACUAGCAAAAUAGAAUUUGAGAGUGAAUUCAAGCCCAUUAUCUAUUUUUAUGCAUUUUAUUUUGCUGUUCAAACUGCACUUUAACAUAAUUGACAAAAUUUGGAACAAGCUGAGAAGCUUCUGACUUGGUUUUCAUAAAGAAGUCCUAAGUAAACUUGCUCUUUCCAUCUACAAUCGUAAGAAAAUAUUUAUAGCCUUCAGUUGAAGGAAUUGAAAGAGGACUCCAAAUAUCCAUAUGAUCAAGUCAAAACACCUGUUUAUUUCAGUCAAACUGUAAUCAAAAGGGAGCUUUUUCUACCUUGCAAGGUGACAUGAAUCACAAAGCAAAUCAACUCUAUUGCAAUCUAUGAAAGUAUAAUUCUUUUUCAUAAUGCUCAACUUUGUGUGAAGGUAAGUGACCUAAUCUAGAAUGCCAAAAAUUAUUGAUUCUUAGUGAGGUGUUGACUUGAUUAAUUUCUGCCAUUGAAGGUCCCUUAGUUGAAACAGAAGGAAAGCAAUAUGGUUGAUUAAUUAGUGUAUAUAACCCUUUUCCACAUUCAGCAAUGACAAUCAUUUUCAAUGUGAGCCAAUCCUAUAUCUCACAAUGUUCAUAAUUGACUAGUAAUUGGCACGUUAAAUUGGAGGUCAAUUUUGAAACCCAAAUGAGUUUGAAAUCAAAAUCUAGUAUAAAAAAAACAUUUGUAAGAUAGAAGCGCUCAGUGAAUACAACAGUUCUAAUAGUGUCACUUAUUGUUUCAAUGCCAUUGGACAUUUUCACUGUUAUAGGUUCUAUCUUUUGAAAGGUUUAAAAAUCCUUUAAAUUGAAGGUGACAUGAUCGGUGGCACCUGAAUCAAUGACCCAAUUUGUUGAUUUUGGCUUCAUAAACUCAUGAUUUUUGAGCUAAAUUGCAGUAAAAUAGUUUUACCUUGGCUAGGGGUUUGCACAGAAUUUGUUAAAACCUAUUUUGCAUUAUGAGGUUGCUGCUGAACACCUUUUCCUUUGAGAAGGUCUAGCAAUGCUAAUCUAUGCUCUAGAGUAAAUUCAGAACUAUGUGUGCCACUGACUUCUUGGUGACAAGUAGACUGAGUCUGCUUAUCACUGAAAUCUUCAUCAUUCUCUUCAGUGAAUAUGUGGUUUGUGUGAGCACUGUACUGUUGCCGUGGUUUCAGAUUUGGAGGAUAUCCAUGUUUCUUGUAACAGCGUCCUCAGUAUGCCCUUCCUUUCCGCAAUAUGAGCACAUCAUCUUUGCACCUCUUUCUCUGCCUGCUGAAGUGAUUCUCCCAUGGCCUCUUCCUCUGUCUUGACCAACAAAGGAGUCUUGCAUUUGAGGGGAAUUCUUGCUCUGAGCUGAAUUAAACAGUAUCUUGUAACAUUGAGAACACUUAUUGGUUUACAUUAGGCAAGGGUGUCAUUAGCAUUAUUGUGACCUCACGGUUGAGUACUGCUCAUUCAGUCCUCUUAGGAGUCUUGUGACUUAAUCCUCAUCUCUGAACUCUCUUAUUUUUGUUAAUCUACAAGCACAUCUCUCAGAACACAUUACACAGCCCGGAAUCUGUCAAAAAUUGUUGACUUCUUCCCAAAUGUGUUUCAAUUUGGUAAAAUAGGCCGUCACAUUUAGAUCCCCUUGCUUUGCAACGAAUAGUUCUUCUUGCAAUUCCACAAUCCUGAACCUAUCACCUCUAUAGUAUCGAUGUCUCAAAUCGUCCCACAAAUUGAAAGCAACAUUGCUCCAGGUCACACUCUCUAGUAUUUCAGGACAUAGGGAAAGGUUAAUCCAAGAAACAAGAUAGUUAUUGCAUCUCUUCUAUGCAUCAAAAUUAUCAUCAUCUACAUCAAGUUGCUUAAUUGUUCGAUCAAUGAAUUUUAUCUUGUUUUUAGAUCUGAACAACUCCAACUACCAUAGUUAUUAGGAGUAAGAAUUGUUUGUGUAAUCGAUGUACCUGAAUUUUCUCUAGGAUGAAUGAAGUAGGGACUGGAAGGAUCUUGAGUCAAACUCAUAUUGCUUCACGCCAUUUGAGCUUGAAGAUUUGACAGCUGAUUCAGAAGAUGUGCCAAAGCAUUCACAUCCAUUUUCAUUGAGCCGCUCUGAUUGUUAGAGCCACCUUUUGAAGUCCGAUUUCUCAAUGAAUGAUCUUCCAUUAGGAGGAAUCAAUGAAUCUAAGAGCAGCAAAGAGUCAGAACUUCUUCUUUGAGACUCGUUGAUAAAAAACGCCACUUCCACUUGUAUAAAAUUCAGUGAAGCGAACAAAAUCUCAUCAAUCUCUAUUGUGCAAGUCUCAUAGAAGGGGACAUAAAGAAAGAGAGAGAAGAAAUUUUAAAAGAACGGAGGUAGAUUGAAGAAAAGGAUUACGGAUCAGGAAACUCCUUUCAACGUUUCUUCAAUUCUGCUAUCUGUGCUUGAUUGCUUUCAUACUCACCGCAUCAUGUACAAAUUUGUUAUCUGAGCAAUCUGCAAGUUAUAGAGAAAUUUGGCAGAGAGAAUGUUCAAUUGAAUUGGAGAAAACUGAAGAAAGUCGAGG